rnacentral:tRNA from 1 species
GCCCUCGUAGCUCAGUCGGCAGAGCGAUUCACUCGUAAUGAAUAGGUCAGGGGUUCGAUUCCCCUCGAGGGCUCCA